GCGGGCAUGGCGAAAUAGCAGACGCGCCAGCUUUAGGAGCUGGUGGCCGCAAGGCCGUGGGGGUGCAAGUCCUCCUGCCCGCACCA
rnacentral:tRNA from 1 species